AUGAAGGUCAAGCGACGUGAAUUUCUUGGUCUCACUCAAGGCAGUCUGUCAGUAAGUGAAUAUUUGCACAAGUUCAACCAUCUGGCCUGUUAUUCCCUUUAUAAUGUGGCCACGGAAGAAAGAAAGAUCGACAGGUUCCUUGGAGGAUUAAAUCAACACCUAAGGAGUGCUCUCUACAUGCUCGACUUUCCAGAUUUUCAGUCUCUUGUGAACAAGGCUCUCAUUGCAGAAGGAGAAUGCAAGCCUGUGCAAGACAACCGCCCCGCAAAUAAUGACCACAAGCGCAAAUUUGAGCCAAAGAAGAACGGCAGCCCAUUCAGAAGGCCCGUACCUGGCAAUAGACUCAAGUGA
rnacentral:rRNA from 1 species